AAUUGGUCUGAAGGUAGUGAGUUAUCUCAAUUGAUUGUUCAUAGUCUGUUACAGAUGGAACUCCCUGUUCUCCUCUUUCACCCCUUCUCACUAUUGCACUUGAAUAGUCUUUG
rnacentral:Y_RNA from 1 species